UUUCUAGCUGGAGAUUGCUUCUCUUGGAGCCCUUCUGUGAGCCCAGGCAUGGGUUAUAUCUGUAGUAAAUGAGCAGAUGACAUUGCAAAUUGAAAAUCUGAUGAAUGGCAGGGUCCAGAGAGUUGUGAUAAGUGGCACAAAGCCCAGUUGGAGGCAAGUCACAAGUGCUGUACAGCAGGGAUCCACUCCUGCUUAACAUUGACUGUCUGGAUAAUGGAACAGCCACCAGCCAGUCUCCAGAUAACACAGAACUUGAAGAAAUGGUGAAACACCAGAGGUUCAUGCUGUUAUCCAGAUGGACAAGGACAAGCUGGGGAAAUGAGUUGAUAAGUAUCUUAUAAAGUUCAGGAAGAAAAGUGAAAAGUUCUGCAUAUGAAUAGGAACAACCCUAUGCUCUAGUACAUGCUGAACACCAACCAGCUGGAGAAUUUUGGAGAAGACCUAGUGGUCCUGGUUAGACACAAAGUUGAUAAUGAGUAUGUUAUUUUAGGUAACAAAGAUUUACAGCAUGAUUAUGGUAAACUCUGUGGUACAUUAUCAUUUGUUGACCACUAUCAGUGUUUAAGAGAAGAUGGAUGAUGUGAUUCUUACCUUAAUAUAAUAAUUUUUUUAAAAAAGCAUAUAAUUAAGACACUCUUUUCAUUCAAGAAAUUCCUCCAACUUUGUUGUUUCACCUGCCCAAGCCAGAUGCUCCUUUCAUUCACUGGAAAAUCUUCAGCUUCUUAGUCUGGUACUUUACAAUCAUAAGAAAGUGUCCACAGUAUAACAAUUGUGUAAGUUUUCUUCUGCUCAUAGCUUGGUUUAAUGAACUUACACCAAGUGACAGAAUUUCAGUCUGUGCUCUGUUGCAUUAUCAGAGUUCCAUAAAAUGACUUCAACGAUUAAACCUUGAAAAAUGCUCUUGGCUCUAAGUAUCCUUAAGUGAAAUUUUAAAUUAACAUUCAUAUAAUGCAAAUGAGAUGUUAGCUAAUGUGAAUGUUGUAAUCACUCAUCCAACAGACUCGGAAGACCAUUUAGAGUGAAUAAUAAAAUUGUACUAAUAGAUGCAUUUGGACAUAUCUGCUUAUGAAAAAAUUACUGUUUUCUCCCCUGAGAGAGUCUGAAUCUAUACAUGGAAAUAAAUAGAAAGAUAAAACAAAUCUCAUCAGAGAGGAAAUCCAGAUUAGUUUCCAAGUGACCCCAAUUAAGUGAUGAUUAUCCUUUCUAGUGCAAACCAAUUUGCUAUUAACUUCUAUCAGAAGCAUAUAUAGUGGCUAAAGCUCUUGAAGAUAUUAAUACUAGUACAUAUAUCUGUACCCAGCUUCUUCUAUUUCUUUGGCUAUUCUGCUAUAUUCAAAUAAAAAUAAGUUAGCUACUUAUUUUUUCAUAUAUCUUCUUCUCUAAGCUUACACAUUAUCUAUCAGCUAUUAUUUUCACUGUAAUAAUUCUUGAUGCAUGAGAAGGCUCAGGGGGGAAAAAAAAAAAAACAACAACAAAAGAAAAUGCCUAAGACAAGGGGAAAACAAGUCUUUUCUUUCUAUUUCUCUCCCCUCCCCUCUUCUCCCCUUCCCUUCUCUUCCUUUUCCACCCAGGGGAUGCUUAAAAAUAUUACUACUUACUGAGAAAGGAAAAAACAGAUUCAUGAUUAAGCUCACUUAAAUUAUGAAGGCCACUCUGAAAGUAAUGUCGCUUAUUUUAUUAUGUUGGAUGCUGGUAGUAUGGCAGCAGAGGCUGAACCCUCAUGCCAGUAUUCUGUAAAAAUGCAUUGCCAUGCGACAUACAAUGGCAGGGAGACAUUCUGGUAAAAUGAUGUCUGACAUAGAAACAUGUAUGAAGCAGAAGUGUGCAACUGAAUUCCUCUAUGUGAAAGAUAUGGAUGUGAGCACAGUGAGGUAGUUGGUGGUGCACUUCAGCAGUGGCAACAAUUGGUCACCUCCACUCUUUGAAUCUUUUUUUUUUUUUAAGGAAAACAAAAACCCAAAUCUAGUAUACAGAUGUAAGUUUUGUUUGUUUUUCUAUGUUUUUUUAAUUUGAUAUAUCUUUUUAUUAGAUAUUACAGAUGUGUUACAUUCACUUAGUUAGGUCACUCCACUGAAGUGUUGCUGAAGUGUUGGAGGCCAAACAGAUGUGAGCACAGUGAGGUGGUGGAUGGUGUGUUUCAGCAAUGGUAACAGUGACAGUGGAUCACCUCUGCUGGGGCAGACUUUGAUGAGCAUGACAUGCAGGUUCUUGUUCAUUACUGGCAAAAAUGUAUAGCUAAUGGUGGUGACUGUACUGAAAAAGUGUAUUGUAGUUGAGAAUUUGCUCAACUGAACGGUGUUAUGUUCUUUGUAUCUGUUGUAGUUCCCAUGGAAAUAAAUAGGAGGGAAUAAUUAUGGAGAAACU
ensembl:lncRNA